GACAGGAGCACUAAACUUCUCUUCAUUAUUACUGCUCAUAAGUUCCUCCACUAAUCACAUUCCUCACUCACUGUUUUACUACAGUAAGUCACGCUAAGUUUUGUGCACCGCCGUCACACUUCAUAGGAAAUAGCAGAAGCGGUUUUGUCACUUCUCGUGUGAAUGCGCCGGGGCUGAAGGGAAUACGGUAUUCCGACAUCAAGCGUCUCCAGCAUUAAGAAGCGUCAGGAAACAAUAAAGAAUGUUUAAGAGUCAAAAACAACCUCAUUAUUUUACAUGAGACUAAAAUAUCUGCAGCUCCACGGGACCAUCGACGCAUUAACAGGUUUCCCAAACAUCCUUAUGGGGAAAAAAUACCUUGAAACUCAACGUCUUUAAAACUCAACUCAACUCCACUCCCAGAACCCACUGAUGUUGAGUUUCCAGCCUCCAGACUUCCGGGAAGCGGCUCGAGCUCCAUGAAGAAAUUCUUGGACUCCCAGAUGCUUAUGGCUUUUUCCUGCGAGAUACACACACGUCCAAAACAUUAGGACCGCCCGCCGACGACAUCUGAAGAUGUUACCAGCACGUUCCUCAAUUGCUGUACAAAACAAGGUGACGCUCACAUUCCCGGCCAGCUGUGUGAUCUUGGAAAAUCUCCAUCGCUCCAAUGUUCGGUACCAGUGUCUGCAUGUAUAUUGUAGAUGUAUUCAACAGUGGACGUCAGUCAGCAUGGGCACUUUGGUCCGUGACUGCACAGACCCGUAUACAGAAGGUUCCAUGCAUUAUACAUUCACCUCAUCACCAGUACCAACUGAUCUGCAUUUUAAACCCCAGCAGCCCCUCUAUUGGUACCACACACCAUGGGCGUCAUGUCCACCGGUUGACCUGCAGACUGACACCCCACCACAUGUACCACAUACCCAAACACACACACACCCAUUCACCUAUAGGGCAAUUCAGUGUCUCUAAUGAACCUGACUGCAUGUUUCUGGACUGUGGGAGGAAACCGGAGCAGACACGGGGAGAACAUGCAAACUCAGCACAGAAAGGAUCGAACCCAGGACCUUCUUGCUGUGAGGCGACAGUGCCACCCACCGAGCCCAGAUUCACCCUGUUUGCUUUAAUUAUCAAUAAGAUGUGUCCCGAAAUUAAUUAGGGUAAUCUUGGAGCAAUUUGAAGGGCAUAAACCAGCCAUAAAGUCCAAUGAACUGAACUUGUGGAGCUCCACAAUCCCUUAAUUCUGGCAAGGGUUAGAUUUUAGAUCACAGAUCAAUGCACCGCCUUGAACCUUCAUAGAUGUCCGCCCAGCAAAAUCGGGCGUGCAGGCAACCAGAACUCAGAAUAGGGUGACAGUUCAGCCUUUAACACAACAAUGUUUUUGUUUGUUUGUUUGUUUGCGUUUAUUGCCAUUCCAGCUCAAUUAGGCUAUGUACAUGGCAUUAGCGGUGGGUUCAAAACCAAGUUUAAGCUAAGUAAAAGUUAAUGUACUAUAUUUGGCUUUUAAUCUUUAUGUAAUUCAACAAAUUCAGGAUUUUUUGUGGGUUAUUGCGUUCGAAGAGGUCUUUCAUAUUUGUGUCUCUGUAAAAUAUUUUUCUAGUAUCUUCGAUGGCUUGUUUGUUAGCUGUGUUAUGAUUCCAUUUCUCCUGCCAUGUGUUUUUACAAAGUAAUUUGACUGUUUAGACGGCAUCGGUGGGUGGGACAUAGCACCAGGUGAUCUGUUUUUCUGCAGCUUUCUUUGCCAGGUCGUCUGUUUUUUCGUUGCCUGUGAUAUUGCAGUGGCGGGGGAUCCAACAAUGCGUGACGUGGACGCGUUUUCUAAGUUUUUCUCUGUAGCUAUGAGUUUGAAGAUAGCUGGGUGAUCCGUUUGGAGGGAUAGCAGCGCUUGUAAGGACGAUUUGGAGUCCGAACAUAUUAAGAACAACUUGUGCGGGCUUAUCUGAAUGUAAUUCAUGGCCAGGAGAAUGGCGUGGGCUUCUGCUGUGAAGAUAGAGCUGUAUUGGGGGAGGCGUAUGCUGUGUUGGUAGUCAGAUGUAUAAGUUGCUGCUCCUACAUGUGAUUCUGUUUUUGAUCCGUCAGUGUAGAUGAUUUGGUGAGUUGGGUGCAUCACUAUGACUGUCAUGAAUUUACUCAGGUAGGUUGUAUAUCUGGCUAGUUUAAAGAUUAACACAACAAUGACCCGAAGAAUACAGCCAAAACAAUGCUGAACCGGUGCUUUUCACCGCUCUACAUGUGCUGAUGGUUAGUUUCACAGUUGCUUUUAUAAUAAAUAGAAACCAUGAAAUGAUUGCUGUCCAUUAAUGCAAAGAACUGACACACAAACAACUACCAGCGUCAGUGGCUUCAACUGAGUUAGAAGCCAAGUCUACGACACGCUUCACAUCUAAAAAUAUCUCAUCAGUGGCGUUCCUAUUGUGGUCUCCUUCCUCUUAUGGACUGGGUAAAAGGGGGGUGACGAAAUGUGCAUAGCUACAGUUGGGUGACGGUAGGUAACUGUGCAAUAACCUAAAGCACAGGAAAUAGCUGGACGUUAAAAAGCACCAUGAUCAUAAAUCCACAUUUAAAAAUGACAUACAUUGUUUUUGCUUCAUUAAAAUGUGCAACUAUG